rnacentral:lncRNA from 1 species
GGAAAGUUUUGUCUCUACUUGUUUGCUCCCCCUUCCUAGAUAAAGAAGGUCUCUCCAGACUUCAGGCAGUUGUUGGGGAAUGGACACAUUAGGAUGAGAGUAAUGCCUUCAAAGUGAGAAGAGAAGGACUGCAGGUUGUCCAAACUUCUCCAAGAGCUAAGUUGGCAUAGGAGACAUGGUGUUUGUGAGGGGAAUGGAAAUGAUGAAAAGAAAAAACGGCCAAGUCAGUUCCAGCUGUCAGAGUUCUGUUCCUACUCCUCAUACGUGUCAUAAGCAAAAUUCUUGCAUGGAUGAGAUGGAAAUCCCCCAAGAGCCCCAUUCUUCUGUGUGUGCCAGAGAAGAGGAGGACAUGAGAAUUGACUCAAAGGACAUUCCAGAUUAAAUAAAUGAAGCCAUGAGAAUACAAAUGUUUCUGUAGAUCUUCUCUCCAGAACCUGGCAUUCAAAUGCCUUCAUUAUGCCUUCCCCAUGUAAUUGUCUUCUGCACACACACACAAAAAAGAGUCAGGAAUGCAUUUCAAGCCUCCCUUCUAAAAACACCCACUAGGAUCCCCAGGGCUAUGCAUAACUUCCAACUCUGAUAGGCAAAGGACUAUUUGAGUGAUGACCCCAUGCUCUCGUUGGGCUCAUCAGCUCUUACCCAAAGUCUUGCUUACCUGAAGUCAAUCAGGGCUGUCCAUCAGGGAACUUAAUAAUCUGACUGUGGGAAAGAGCCAUGUAGUCAAUGCCCUACACAGACAGGGUGAAAACAAAACACUAAGGGGCAAAAAAUUUUCUCUCUCACUAUUCAGCAACCUUCAGCUCAAAUCUUCUGGAGAGCAAAGACAGAAUACCAAUCUGCCAAAUUUCUCCCUCUACAAAAGAAAAAAAUCAUUUCAUUAGCAGAGCUUUGGUGGUCCAAGGAUAUUGAAAUGAAUUAGUACCUGAUUUUAAUAAUUCUCUUUAUUUUAAAUUACUAUUAUUAUUACUAAAUUCUAUGAAUACUAGGGUCUUUAGUCUGCAGAUGUGCUUUACAUUGAAGUGGCUUUUCAGAUAAAGCCAGUAUUUCUUCUUUCAUAUGGUUAGGAAGCCUGGAAGGGUACCAGACCAGGUCAGCAGGGGAACAGAAAUGAAGUCCCUCACCCUCCUGAUUCCCAGAUCAACACCUUGUAAUCUGGCAUUCUGGUUCACUGUGUCAUUCCUGUGGAUCUGGGGCCUGUGGAUCUACUGAAGAUCUUUCUGUUACUGGACAAUUUGGUAUAAUUUGGGCAAACAUCACCUGGACUAGCAUGGGGAGUGUUUAAUUCUCUGAGCACGAGGACUGGCAACGUAACAUCUCAUGAUCCAGACUUCCAGUCUACGAUUUGAUGACUGGUGUAUCCUACAUGGUAUUCAUCUUACAUCUAAUAAUUGUAUUAAAUUGAG